UCUUCCGUAGUAUAGUGGUUAGUAUAUGAGCUUGUCACCUCCAUGACAAAAACGCUCGGGACCCGGGUUCAAUUCCCGGCGGGAGAG